GAACGAACGCUGGCGGCCGGCCUAACACAUGCAAGUCGAGCGAGGACUUCGGUCCUCGCGGCGGACGGGUGAGUAACGCGUGGGAACGUGCCCUUUGCUUCGGAAUAGCCCUGGGAAACUGGGAGUAAUACCGGAUGAGCCCUUUGGGGGAAAGAUUUAUCGGCGAAGGAUCGGCCCGCGUUGGAUUAGGUAGUUGGUGGGGUAAUGGCCUACCAAGCCGACGAUCCAUAGCUGGUUUGAGAGGAUGAUCAGCCACACUGGGACUGAGACACGGCCCAGACUCCUACGGGAGGCAGCAGUGGGGAAUCUUAGACAAUGGGGGAAACCCUGAUCUAGCCAUGCCGCGUGAGCGAUGAAGGCCUUAGGGUUGUAAAGCUCUUUCAGCUGGGAAGAUAAUGACGGUACCAGCAGAAGAAGCCCCGGCUAACUCCGUG
rnacentral:rRNA from 1 species